UCCUCCACCUGCUGCGGGCAGAUAUAGUGGAUAUGCGCGUCGAUGCCGCCCGACGUCAGUAUCUUGCCCUCGCCCGCGAUGAUCUCCGUUCCCGGCCCGAUGACGAUGUCCACGCCGGGCUGGAUGUCGGGAUUGCCCGCCUUGCCGAUGGCCGCGAUGCGCCCGUUCUUCAGCGCCACGUCGGCCUUGUAGAUGCCGGUCCAGUCGAUGAUGACGGCGUUGGUGACGACCGUAUCCGCCGCGCCCGCCGCAUUGGUGAUCUGGCUCUGGCCCAUGCCGUCGCGGA
rfam:Sphingobium japonicum TT26S DNA, chromosome 1, complete genome.